GGAGAGGGAGCUUUACAGAUGGCUACCACUUCUAAGGAAGGCAGCAGGCACGUUAAUUACCCACUUUCGAAUUGAAGAGGUAGUCACGACACAUAACUCUAGAGUUGAGUAAAAUCAAUUCUUGAAGGAAUGAGUAGGAGGUAAAUUCUCCUACGAAAUCAUUUGGAGGGCAAGUCUGGUGCCAGCAGCCGCGGUAAUUCCAGCUCCAAUAGUGUAUAUUAAAGUUGCUGUGAUUAAAACGCUCGUAGUUGAAUUAAAAUGUGGUUUUAUACAUUUUGAAGACUUUAUGUAAGUAAAGUUUCUAGAAAUGUUAAAUUAAAAUCUAAGAAGGAAACAAUUCAAGUAAUUGAGUUGUUAUUACUUUGAAUAAAAUAAGGUGUUAAAAGCAAAACAUUAUGUUAAUGAUUAUUCAAGCAUGGGACAAUGCUGAGCGGAUCUCAAUAAGACAUUUCGAGAGAAGGAUAAAAAGGAACAAUUGGGGUGAUUCAGAAAAUAACGGGAGAGGUGAAAAUCCAUGAUCGCUAU
rnacentral:rRNA from 1 species